rnacentral:rRNA from 1 species
GGUGAACGCUGGCGGCGGGCCUAAUACAUGCAAGUCGAACGGAAGCACGGUAAGAGUUUGCUUUUAAGGGUGGCGAGGGGCGGGCGGGUGAGGCAUAGAUCGGAAUCUUCUUUUUCUUGGGGGAUAACGGGGGGCAACAUACGCUAAUAGAGAAUAUGAUCUACGGGUUGGAUCAAUAGUGAUUGACAGCUUUGCUGUCUGAUCUAGACGAAGUCGGAUUAGCUAGUUGGUAGGGUAAAGGCACACCAAGGCAACGAUACGUAGCGGGGCUGAGAGGAUGAUCGGCCACACUGGAACUGAGACACGGUCCAGACUCCUACGGGAGGCAGCAGUAGGGAAUCUUCGGCAAAGGGCGCAAGCCUGACGCAGCCACACCGCGUGAGUGAUGAAGGCCUUCGGGUUGUAAAGCUCUGUUGUUGGGAAAGAACAGAUGCAGAUGUAACCCUGGCCGUUUUGACGGUACCUAAACAAAAAGCCCCGGCUAACUACGUG